GUAAGUGGGUUUUCCUGAGUUCCCAAGAUAUGAUUAAGGAAGAAAACAAACCCAUCUCCAGGAAGAUCCCAGUCCGGAAAGAACUAGACAGAUGUAAAAACCAAAGUGACCAAUUUAGUUUUUUUUUAAAUGAAGAACAAAACAUUAAUAUUAAGGUAUUAAGAAGAUGCUCAGCAGGCUUGAUCGGCAUCUUCAUGGUCAUUACCAAUCGGUCUGACAAAAUAGUUCUCUGGUAGUCAGCAUUCAUUCAAGGCAGCUUGCCUGAUAAUUUCCUGUGUAUGUGAAGCGUCUCACACUUUUACGUGUUAGCUAUAAUUCCUUAAAUUACUUAACUGAAAUCUGUAAUAGAGAACCAUUUUGGCAUCUGAACAGCUAUUUUACAUGGAGGAAAAAGCACACACAUCUGUCUCUCUGCUUUACCCAGAAAAACUGACUUUCUGGUUUCAUCUUCAUAUUGUUUAGUAGCAUAAUAAGAGUAGUCCUUUAUCUUUCUCUAAUGUUAGUAAAUAUAUUCUGUUAGUAGGAAGUUCUGAUAUUGAAGGGAAAAUAUAUUUAAGGAAAUAAAGGAAUUGAAUACACCCUUCAAAAAUCGCCAAAUACUGAAAAUAAGAGAUGAGUCCUUAAAACCUGAGUCAAAAAAGGUCCAGUUUUACAGCCUGCAAUUAAUUCAGGGCUGCAUUGGCAUUAAAAAAAAUUAAAUAUAUAUGCAUAUUAUAUAUUUAGUAACUUACACUUAAAAGAGGAAAAGAUUGCAUUAACACUGCAUGUGCUGGUAUGUGCCACAUUAACACCUAACAGGCAUUUUAUUUAUACUUCAUAGAACCAGGCAGAUACAACUCUGAAAAAUCAUACUGUAUUCACAAUGGAAAAGGAUAGUCUUGUCUACCACAGAGUAGUAUGUCCACACUUAGUAAUGAAAACUUCCUUCCUUUCCUGCUCAAAAAUUUCUUCAGUCUGUUAUUAUUUUUAAGUGCCCCUUGCUGCAAAUUUCAAACGGAGCAAGAAAUCUUCCUCAGAGUAGGUGGUUUAGAAUUAAAUUAGUACAAUAUAUAUGAAUUUAUGUCAUUUACCCCUGAGUAUGGUAGAACUGUUAAAGCAUUCUUAAAUUCCAAUUAUAUGAAGCCUAUCAUUACUAGGAAAAGUAUAUUCUUUGGGAUAAGAAUUAAUUUCUUCACACCAUUAGAGUAUGUUGUGAGUAGUAAGGAACUACUUAGAUGCAAUUUAUUUACAGAAUUGUCCGUUGGCCUCUUGAAAUGGCUAGAUCUUUCACUACUGAGUAGAUAGUUUCUACUUACUGGCAGGAUAGAUUACAUUGCUUUACUGGACAAAGCAGAAUGAACUUACACAACUAAAAUAUGUCCUAUAUUGGCCAGGCGUGGUGGCUCACACCUGUAAUCCCAGCACUUUGGGAGGCCAAGGCCGGUGGAUCACUUGAGGUCAGGAGUUCAAGACCAGCCUGACCAACAUGGUGAAACCGCGUCUCUACUAAAAAUACUUAAAAAAAAAAAAAAAAA
rnacentral:lncRNA from 1 species